GCAUGGCUGAAUUCUGAUUUACUCCUCCUGUAGUAAAUGCAGUCAGACACCAUGCUAGAUUACUUCUCUUCUCCUCUAUAUAUCACAGUGGUACGUUCUUGUGUAUUUGCUGAUUUGGAGGGAGAAGUGAACAAUU